rnacentral:tRNA from 1 species
AAUGCAGUGCCUGAAAAAGGAUUAUUUUGAUAGAAUAAAUUAUAUAAUUUUAUAAAAUUAUCUCCAUUU